CUCUGUUCAACUAGCAUAGGUAAACCUUCAUUUUUCUUUUCCGAGAAGUCGGUUUAGUGACAGGGACUUAACAUGUGCUGAAGAGUUUGUAUGACAUGAACAAUAUUGGGGAAGAUUGAUUUGUUGGUCACGUGCAGGAUGGCUCAUGAUGAAAGACUGAACAGAGAGUAUCCAGAGGCAAUUGCUAUGCCCUAAUCAUGACGUAGGUGGGGCCGGAACUGGGGUGAGGAUGGAAAGAAUGGAUGUGAGAUCCCAGGACAGAAUGACUAAGAUGAUGAUGGUGGACAGGAGCCGGGAGAGAAGAGAGGUAUUUAAAAUGCUCUGGAAUUUCGAGUGUAGGUGCCUAGAGGAAUGGCGGUCUAUUAACAGAAAGAGGGAAGUAAGGAGGAGGAGGUGACCUUGAAGGAAAGCCACGUUGGGUUUGAAGUCAUCCAGGACCUACAGUUGCAAAGUCCCACCGACCUUUGGAAAUGUUCCUGGUCUGCGACAGGAUGGUCAAUAGCCUUUUGUCAUCUAGAACAUAAAGAAGAUCAAAAAGUUCAAGAGGCCAAGGCUAGAUUUUGCUCCUUUAUCAAACUCCCUGUGCAGCUCUAUGGCUGUGUAACACAGGCCACCAGGGACGUUUAGAAAGAGAGCAAAGGCACCACCAACUACUCAGUCGCACUUAAGGCUCCGAUUGUGAUUUAUCCGUGGCAAUAAUUCAAUCCAUACUCCUAAUUCAUGCAGCCUCUGGAAAGUCACUUCUCUUCCUUUGGGCUGAAAUUCCCUGCUCCACAAAACAAGUGCUUGUGUUAAGAACUCUCUAAAGUCUCUGGAUCUGAAAUAUACCACUGUUGAACUGCAUGUUUCUAUUAUUUGAUCAACAAAUACAUAAUAUGUAGUCAGUGUACUCAAAGUAUUAAGUUGCAUUUGUCAUUAAUUAAAAU
rnacentral:lncRNA from 1 species